rnacentral:rRNA from 1 species
GAUGAACGCUAGCGGCGUGCCUAAUGCAUGCAAGUCGAACGAAAACCUUUGGAUUCGUCUGAAGGGGACAGUGGCGAACGGGUGAGUAACACGUUGGUGACCUGCCUUAGAGAAGGGGACAACCAUUGGAAACGAUGGCUAAUACCGUAUAUGUCAGCCUUUUUAGAAAGGGAUGACGAAAGGAGAAAUCCGCUCUAAGAGGGGCCAGCGUCCCAUCAGCUAGUUGGUAAGGUAAAAGCUUACCAAGGCGAAGACGGGUAGGGGGCGUGAGAGCGUGACCCCCCACACUGGUACUGAUACACGGACCAGAUACCUACGGGUAGCAGCAGCAAGGAAUAUUGCACAAUGGGCGAAAGCCUGAUGCAGCAACGCCGCGUGAAGGAUGAAGGCUUUCGGGUUGUAAACUUCUUUUCUGGGAGAAGAGAAAGGACGGUAUCCCAGGAAUAAGGUCCGGCUAACUACG